GUUCACUGUCGCAUAGGCAGCUCAGAAA
rfam:Burkholderiales bacterium 68-12 scnpilot_p_inoc_scaffold_665, whole genome shotgun sequence.